CCCUCCCCGCCUCGGCGUUUUUUCCUCCCACCUCCCGGGCUCUCGGCAGAGCAGCCACGGACUAGUCCCAGCGUGCCAAGCCCAUCCUGCCCAAGCGUCCCUCUGCAGUCCCAGUUCAGGGCGGGAGGCUGGACAGCGGCCUUCGACUCAGAAGAGGCGCGAGAAGGCGACGGGGGGGGGGGGGUCCGUCUAACGGACGCGAGCAGCCCCUCCCCAAAGGAACCUAAUAAUAAGAUGAGAAGAAGGUUACGCAGGGGUUCUGCAGGGAGUCAGGCCUGAAGCGCCCACCAAAUGCCCAGGCCCGAAGCCGCUCUUCCUGGGCGCCUGGGGCGCCGGGCCGCGUCCAGCCCUCCCGCCUCCCCCCACCCCCAGGCGCUGUACCGGAGUCGCAACUCCAGUCGCCCGGGGCCAGGCCCUCCUUAGUCCUUGACUGCCCUCACCUGCCGUUGAAGGAGCCAGGAGUGGGAGGGAGCGGGAAGACGCCUCAGGCCCCAACACUUAGACCAACCGGUACCGGCAGCACCGCCCUCUGCGCCCACAGAGCGUGCGCGGUGUCGGGAUUCCCGCCCUGUCCCUUCCCGUCCCGCGCCUUGGCGCACCAAUCCCCACUCAAGAAGACACGCCUGCGCAUUAGCUGUACGACGCCCCAAUCGUCAUUUGUCAAAGCCCCACGAUCCACCUUUUGCCAUAACAAAAGGACGUUGGCAUCCAAUCAGGAUUGAGGCUGUUGUGGGCGGGUCCGGUAAAAGCAACAGCCAAUGACCGUACAGGAGCGAAGUUAAGCGUGAGAAAGCCAGUCCAAAGAAAGCAGCUGUUCAGUCUCAGCAGGAGCCAGAGAAAUUGCGGUCAGAAAGCCAGUAUGGAAAAUUCUGACAGCUGUCUGGAAGGAGGUUAUUGAAUUCAUUGGAGAAUGAGUGCUGUCCUAAAUUUGAUGCUUCUCAGAGCCAGGAAAACAGCAACUGGAUAAAUAUAGGAGGAUGACGCAUCAGCCCCGCGUGGACGUCCCUGCCCGAGCACGCAUGCGCAGACAAGCCAGCAAGCCGCGCACCACCACGUGGCCCUCAGCCUCCAGGAACUGAUGCUCAGGCUCCUCGAGCCAGAAACUCUGAACGGAACGGGGCGUCCUCCGAGAAGCCUGGGAGGAGGCCACUAGGGCGGUCGUGCCCUCAGCUCCUUGGAGCAUCGUCAGCGGUCGCCCUCGGUCGUCCCUGGCUAUAUAUAGCCCUGCUGCCUGCAGCUCACCUGCCGUCUUUGUGAAUGAAAUCCCGGACAUCCUUCCCAGCUCCGACAGAGCAGCAGGGGCAUUUGAAAGUUUUGGAAAAUGAGUGGGGGAAACAGAGCAGGUGUUUUGCUCAUUGUGAAAGGCAAACGCCGAUUUGGAAGGUUUCGAGGUAGGGAACGAGAGCCAAACUGAGGGCAGCCAAUUUUUAAUUACCUGCACAAUUAGCAGCCUGGCUUAACAACAAGCCUGUUUUGUCAAGCUCUGUUUAAGGAUUAGGGUGUUGCGGCAAUAGUACCAAACAGGUGAAUGGAGCAGUGAUCAUAUCCCACUCUUGAAAAUCAGUGUUCUGCCUCUACGGUCCUGGGCGGCCACCAGCAAGCUUCUGACUCCCUCUUUCUGGCCCUGACUGAAUUGGCAUAAGGGCAGGGAUCAGGUGUCUGUAAGGCCAUCUGCUCUGUGGUGGAUCAGUCCAUGUUAAGUGAACUAUAUUAAAUGAAUGUGUUGUACAUCAACAUUAGCUUCUUGGGGUAAAACAAAACAGAGCCUCUCUGUCUUUCAUCCCUAGUUGUGACCACUAUUUGAAAUUUGAACUGUUUAAUGGAAAGGCAUAUGACUCUAAAGGUUACUCAGUAAUAUCUCCUUGGGGACAGGAUUUCUGUGGGAGACCCACUAAGAGCAUCCAUUGGGCCUUAGAAUGCUUUGGUGUGAGCCUACUUGGUAAAACUUGAGUGU